rnacentral:lncRNA from 1 species
AUCCCAGGCCUUACAUUUUUGCUUUUGUUUUCUCCCAAGGCAAUUAACAGUACUGAAUAGAUAUCGGGUCCUAAGUAAAUAUAUGCUCAAACUAAAUAAAGCCUGCAUUAAGAAAAAAGAAAGAAAAAGAAACAUAUUCAGAUAUUAUUUAUCCUGAAAAGAAAACAGGUAUUAAUUUAUAUUUCCUUAUUUACUUCCCCCUCCCCCCAACAGAGAAACAAAUUAUAUAACACCUUGUGUUUAUAUAAACGUGUGUCUCCAAGUA